GAAUCUUGCGCAAUGGGCGAAAGCCUGACGCAGCCAUGCCGCGUGAAUGAUGAAGGUCUUAGGAUUGUAAAAUUCUUUCACCGGGGACGAUAAUGACGGUACCCGGAGAAGAAGCCCCGGCUAACUUCGUGCCCGCAGCCGCGGUAAUACGAAGGGGGCUAGCGUUGCUCGGAAUUACUGGGCGUAAAGGGCGCGUAGGCGGAUCGUUAAGUCAGAGGUGAAAUCCCAGGGCUCAACCCUGGAACUGCCUUUGAUACUGGCGAUCUUGAGUAUGAGAGAGGUAUGUGGAACUCCGAGUGUAGAGGUGAAAUUCGUAGAUAUUCGGAAGAACACCAGUGGCGAAGGCGACAUACUGGCUCAUUACUGACGCUGAGGCGCGAAAGCGUGGGGAGCAAACAGG
rnacentral:rRNA from 1 species